rnacentral:lncRNA from 7 species
AGGCUAAUACGGAAACGGCCGAGGGCAUCGUGGCGCACAACCUUGCCACGACGCCGUGCCGGCAUGCAUCUGGGCACCAGCCUGACCACGGCCACACCUCUAAAGCAAUGGAGAGCGUGAAAUCAUAUAUUCACUGGUGUCGAAACCGCGGCGGCGUCGACCCCUGGCUUGCAGCGGCUCGACGAUGAACUCCUCGCCGUGAAGAACUCCCCCGCGCUACUGGACUCCUUGCAGGGGCUCGAGCGAUGAUACAGCCAAUAAUGACGACGACGGCUCCCUGCAGACCCUCUUCUCUUCACUCUCGGGGCGCCUGACGAUGCCUGGGUCUCGCGUGGCUAUGGCGACUUGGGGAAAAAAAUUCGGUUACACAACUAGAACAUUAUCUGUUUAUACGCUGCUAGGGAAUCCUAACAAACUCCCCAUGAUCUACGGAAGUGGUUACAUGUAUACAUAUCCAAAUGGGUCAGCCUGAUAAUGGGCCCGUGACCCGGCACGAGCACAGGUCCAACCCGACUAGAAGCGUGCCCGGACCGGGCCAGCCCGAUAGCCGUGUCGGGCUUGGACCGGCCGUUUGGCCCGCGAUACAGGCACGGGCCCGCCCUAGUUAAAGGGUAGGCACGGUAACGGUCCGUUUGAGAGACUGAUUUUGUAAUGGUCAGUCUGUUUUAGCUAUAAUACUGAUGAUUCUGUUAUUAUAUGAGAGCAUUCUGAAUUGUGAUACGUGUUUUAUAUGUGUAUCUGAAAUUCU